AGAGCUCAAAUUUGAAAGCUGGCGUCUUCGGCGUCCGCGUUGUAAUCUCGAGACGUGUUUUCCGUGCGGCUCUAUGGACAAGUCCCUUGGAACAGGGCAUCGUAGAGGGUGAAAAUCCCGUACUUGCCAUGGAAGUACCGUGCUUUGUGAUACACGCUCCAAGAGUCGAGUAGUUUGGGAUUGCUGCUCAAAGUGGGUGGUAGACUCCAUCUAAAGCUAAAUAUCGGGGAGAGACCGAUAGCGAACAAGUACCGUGAGGGAAAGAUGAAAAGCACUUUGGAAAGAGAGUUAAAAGUACGUGAAAUUGUCGAAAGGGAAGCACUUGAAGUCAGCCAUGCUGCUUGAGACUCAGCCUGGCUUUUGCUUGGUGUAUUUCUCGGUAGCAAGCCAGCAUUGGUUUGUGUCGUCGGAGAAGCGUAUGGGGAAUGUGGCAUCCUCGGAUGUGUUAUAGCCCUGUGCAGGAUACGACGACGUAGACCAAGGAACGCAGUGUGCCCUCUGGGCGGGUCUUCG
rnacentral:rRNA from 1 species